UACAUCUCUUUGUUCCGCCUGUGGACUGAUUUGUAGAGCAGUUUGCCCUCCUUAACACGUGAGUCAAGAUUUUGUAGAAGAUUCUGCCAAAGAAUCAACAACAUAAAGAAAUAUAUCUCUCGGUUUGGGUAUCUCUCAACAAAACCUUCUACUGCUUCUCAGCCAGCCAUGCUGUCUGCUUCCUGCUCGGGACUUGUGAUCUUGUUGAUAAUCAGAAGGACCAAUGGAGACUCGGUGACCCAGACAGAAGGUCCAGUUACCCUCCCUGAGAGGGCAGCUCUGACAUUAAACUGCACUUAUCAGGCCAGCUAUUCAGCUUUUAUGUUCUGGUAUGUCCAAUAUCUAAACAAAGAGCCUGAGCUCCUCCUGAAAAGUUCAGAAAACCAGGAGACGGACAGCAGAGGUUUUCAGGCCAGUCAUGUCAAGAGUGACAGUUCCUUUCAUCUGGAGAAACCCUCGGUGCAGCUGUCAGACUCUGCGGUGUACUACUGCGUUCUGAGAGAUACAACUUCAACAAAUUUUACUUUGGAUCUGGGACCAAACUCAAUGUAAAACCAA